GAACUCGGAAAUGACAGCAGCUAUCUAUCUUGCUCGUUCAGAUCAUCUUUGUAUGGCGGUGCUGGCUUAGCUUAGCUUGGCUAUAGAGACGGCUUUCCACGCGCAGAGAGUCCAGAAUCUCCUCGCUGACUUUAUUCUGACGGGGAAGAGGUAAAGACACCUGCAGACGCAUCAUGACAUCACUUCCUCUGUACUAAUCUCAGUAACCUCACCUCAUCUUUACGUUUCCUCACCCUAAUAAAAAAUGACAGCAUGAGAAGAGAGGCGAUAGUUCCCAGCUGUCAUUGAAUGCAACACUGGAAGCCCAACAGUGGAUCAUUUGUUGAUAUUGGGAACAUACAAACCCAUUAUUGUUUUUUUAAAUCAAAUGUUCCUUGUAAGAUUCAAAACUAUGCAAUUCAUGUUAAAAGUAAGAAACCAUCAACUUCCGCAUAAUAUUCAAAAAAUGUUUUGUGUCAGAAUAGGGGAUUAUAAUUUAAGAGGGAAGGAAAUAAAAUAAAAGGGUUUAUUUAUCAAUAUGUGUGGCAGAUUUAUGGAAUGGAUUAAAUGAUGAGUUUAAACAAAGUAAAAAUAUAAACCUGAUUUAAAAUCUGUUCAAAAAGGAGAUUAUUGGGAAAUAUGUUGUGUAGGACGGAUGUCUCAAAGACCAAAAGGGAUAUUAUUGAUAUUAAUAAUUUAUGAACAUUGUAAAUUUAAUUAUGAGAAUGUGAGUUUUAAGUGUCAUUCAGUGUGGGAAUAAUUUAAAUGAUUAGAUUUAAAUGUUUGUAGGUUGAUAAGUAUAAAGGGCAGGAAAUCAGAAGAUCUUUUUCUACCUGCUCCUUUUCAAACAAAUUAUGUAAAAUUACAUGCAAUGGGCCUGAUAGCUUUGUUUUAUUCAUUUAUUUGUUUCUGUUUUUACUUUUUGUCUGUUUGAGAUGUUAUAAAUGUGACUGAGAAAUUCACUCUUUAA